rnacentral:rRNA from 1 species
GACGAACCGUGCAAACGUUGUUCGGAAUCACUGGGCUUAAAGGGCGCGUAGGCGGGCAAGCAAGUCCGGGGUGAAAUCUUUCGGCCCAACCGGAAAAGGGCCUUGGAUACUGCUUGUUUGGAGGGAGGUAGGGGCAGACGGAACUUCCGGUGGAGCGGUGAAAUGCGUUGAUAUCGGAAGGAACGCCGGUGGCGAAAGCGGUCUGCUGGACCUCUACUGACGCUGAGGCGCGAAAGCCAGGGGAGCGAACGGG